rnacentral:rRNA from 1 species
GAUGAACGCUGGCGGCGUGCUUAACACAUGCAAGUCGAACGGGAUCCAUCAGGCUUUGCUUGGUGGUGAGAGUGGCGAACGGGUGAGUAAUGCGUGACCGACCUGCCCCAUACACCGGAAUAGCUCCUGGAAACGGGUGGUAAUGCCGGAUGCUCCAGUUGAUCGCAUGGUCUUCUGGGAAAGCUUUCGCGGUAUGGGAUGGGGUCGCGUCCUAUCAGCUUGACGGCGGGGUAACGGCCCACCGUGGCUUCGACGGGUAGCCGGCCUGAGAGGGCGACCGGCCACAUUGGGACUGAGAUACGGCCCAGACUCCUACGGGAGGCAGCAGUGGGGAAUAUUGCACAAUGGGCGCAAGCCUGAUGCAGCGACGCCGCGUGAGGGAUGGAGGCCUUCGGGUUGUAAACCUCUUUUAUCGGGGAGCAAGCGAGAGUGAGUUUACCCGUUGAAUAAGCACCGGCUAACCACGUGCCAGCAGCCGCGGUAA